rfam:Ovis aries breed Texel chromosome 14, whole genome shotgun sequence.
UCCCUGGUGGUUUGGUGGCUAAAACUUUGUGCUUCCAAUGCAAAGGUCCCAGGUUCGAUCCCUGGUCAGGGAA